AGAGGUUGGAAACGGCAGAGGAGGAAAAGAAGAAAGAAAAGAAAAGAGGAAGGAAGAAAAAGAAGAAGAAAAGAGAAAAAGAGGAGGAGAAAAAGGAAGGAAAAUAGGUAGUUCAAGCUUGAUUCCCUUCUCCUUUCUCUAUAUUUCCUUCAAGAGUGCACUGAGGGGCUACGGCCGUGUACUAGAGUCAUGUAUUUAACUCCUAUACAUUGAGGAGCUACAGCCGUGUGUAAGGGUAACUCUUAUUCACUGAGGGCUUACGAUCGUGGGUAAAGGUACUUAUUAUACACUGAGGGGCUACAGCCGUGUAUGAGGAUGAUUAUGUUGUUUCCAUCUUGUGCACUGAGAGGCUACGACCGUGUACAGAAUAUUGAUCCGACAGCUUUUAGAUCAUUAGUAGAUGUUUUACAUGGGGUAUAUUUGAUGUGAGUUUUAAGUAUAUAGGGGAUUAUUAGCCUACAGCUUACAUUUUCCCGUUUACAGUUCAGCUUAUGGAUUUUAGAUUAAGAGUUCAGUUUA